rnacentral:sRNA from 1 species
AAUACUGGACACAUUGGCACAACUCAGCACAUGAUACAACAACAGACUUUACAGAGUACAUCAACUCAGAGUCAACAAAAUGUACUGAGUGGGCACAGUCAGCAAACAUCUCUACCCAGUCAGACACAGAGCACUCUUACAGCCCCACUGUAUAACACUAUGGUGAUUUCUCAGCCUGCAGCCGGAAGCAUGGUCCAGAUUCCAUCUAGUAUGCCACAAAACAGCACCCAGAGUGCUGCAGUAACUACAUUCACUCAGGACAGGCAGAUAAGGUAGUUGUCAUAUUUCAUUUGUUAUUUUGAAAAUUGUAAACCGAUUGAUUAGAAAACAAUAAUUUGAUUUCUUAAUCAAAUUUUUUAAUGUGAUUUUAAUGAGAUGCUCACUGCAGCCAAUGUUCUUAAAUUUGAAAUAAAAACACUGAAUGUA